GCCGAUGUGGUGGAAUUGGUAGACACGCCAUCUUGAGGUGGUGGUGGCUCAUGCUGUGCCGGUUCGAGUCCGGCCAUCGGCA
rnacentral:tRNA from 1 species